rnacentral:rRNA from 1 species
ACAAUGGGGGAAACCCUGAUGCAGCGACGCCGCGUGGAGGAAGAAGGUCUUCGGAUUGUAAACUCCUGUCCCAGGGGACGAUAAUGACGGUACCCUGGGAGGAAGCACCGGCUAACUACGUGCCAGCAGCCGCGGUAAAACGUAGGGUGCAAGCGUUGUCCGGAAUUACUGGGUGUAAAGGGAGCGCAGGCGGAUUGGCAAGUUGGGAGUGAAAUCUAUGGGCUCAACCCAUAAAUUGCUUUCAAAACUGUCAGUCUUGAGUGGUGUAGAGGUAGGCGGAAUUCCCGGU